AUACGGAGGAUGCGAGCGUUAUCCGGAUUUAUUGGGUUUAAAGGGUGCGUAGGCGGGCUGUCAAGUCUGUGGUGAAAAGUCAGGGCUUAACCUUGAUCGUGCCGCGGAAACUGACGGUCUUGAAUAGGGAUGCCGUUGGCGGAAUGUGGAGUGUAGCGGUGAAAUGCGUAGAUAUUCCACAGAACACCGAUUGCGAAGGCAGCUGACGAAUCCCCUAUUGACGCUGAGGCACGAAAGUGCGGGUAUCGAACAGGAUUAGAUACCCUGGUAGUCCACGCCGUAAACGAUGGGCGCUCGUCGUCGGCGGCAGACAGUCGGCGGCCAAGCGAAAGCGAUAAGCGCCCCACCUGGGGAGUACGGUCGCAAGGCUGAAACUCAAAUGAAUUGGCGGGGG
rnacentral:rRNA from 1 species